AUUGAACGCUGGCGGCAUGCCUUACACAUGCAAGUCGAACGGUAACAGGUCUCCGGAUGCUGACGAGUGGCGAACGGGUGAGUAAUACAUCGGAAUGUGCCCAGACGUGGGGGAUAACGAGGCGAAAGCUUUGCUAAUACCGCAUACGAUCAAAGGAUGAAAGCAGGGGACCGCAAGGCCUUGUGCGGUUGGAGCGGCCGAUGGCAGCUUAGGUAGUUGGUGGGAUAAAAGCUUACCACGCCGACGAUCUGUAGCUGGUCUGAGAGGACGAGCAGCCACACGGGGACUGAGACACGGCCCAGACUCCUACGGGAGGCAGCAGUGGGGAAUUUUGGACAAUGGGCGAAAGCCUGAUCCAGCAAUGCCGCGUGCAGGAUGAAGGCCUUCGGGUUGUAAACUGCUUUUGUACGGAACGAAAAGGCUCUGGCUAAUACCUGGGGCACAUGACGGUACCGUAAGAAUAAGCACCGGCUAACUACGUG
rnacentral:rRNA from 1 species